rnacentral:rRNA from 1 species
CCUACGGGUGGCAGCAGUGAGGAAUAUUGGUCAAUGGACGCAAGUCUGAACCAGCCAUGCCGCGUGCAGGAAGACGGCCCUAUGAGUUGUAAACUGCUUUUGUACGAGGGUAAACGCAGAUACGCGUAUCUGCCUGAAAGUAUCGUACGAAUAAGGAUCGGCUAACUCCGUGCCAGCAGCCGCGGUAAUACGGAGGAUCCAAGAGUUAUCCGGAUUUAUUGGGUUUAAAGGGUGCGUCGGCGGUCUGUUAAGUUAGAGGUGAAAUCCCGAGGCUCAACUUCGGAAUUGCCUCUGAUACUGGUAGUCUAGAGAGGAGUUGCGGUAGGCGGAAUGUAUGGUGUAGCGGUGAAAUGCUUAGAGAUCAUACAGAACACCGAUUGCGAAGGCAGCUUACCAAGCUGCUUCUGACGUUGAGGCACGAAAGCGUGGGGAGCAAACAGGAUUAGAUACCCUUGUAGUC